rnacentral:rRNA from 1 species
AACGAACGCUGGCGGCAUGCCUAACACAUGCAAGUCGAACGAGACCUUCGGGUCUAGUGGCGCACGGGUGCGUAACGCGUGGGAACCUGCCCUUAGGUUCGGAAUAACUCCCCGAAAGGGGUGCUAAUACCGGAUAAUGUCUUCGGACCAAAGAUUUAUCGCCUUUGGAUGGGCCCGCGUUGGAUUAGCUAGUUGGUAGGGUAAAAGCCUACCAAGGCGACGAUCCAUAGCUGGUCUGAGAGGAUGAUCAGCCACACUGGGACUGAGACACGGCCCAGACUCCUACGGGAGGCAGCAGUGGGGAAUAUUGGACAAUGGGCGAAAGGCUGAUCCAGCAAUGCCGCGUGAGUGAUGAAGGCCUUAGGGUUGUAAAGCUCUUUUACCCGGGAUGAUAAUGAGAGUACCGGGAGAAUAAGCGCGGGCUAACUCCGUG